AAAAGGGGUAACUUCGUAAUACCAUGUAUUGCCUAACCUAAUAAAGCUCCAGACCAGCCGCUAUCCCCUCGGUUGCUCGGAGCUUGGAUUAGGGUUUUUGAGGGCGGCGUUCCGUGUUUUAGUGCGGCUCGUAUCAGUCAUCUUGAACCCAUAACAAUGGCGGAACAGACCGAGAAGGCCUUCUUGAAGCAACCCAAAGUGUUUCUCUGUUCGAAGAAACCCGGAAAGGGCAAGAGGCCUGGAAAAGGAGGGAACAGAUUCUGGAAAAGCAUCGGGUUGGGUUUCAAGACCCCCAGAGAAGCCAUUGAAGGGGCUUACAUUGAUAAAAAAUGCCCAUUCACUGGUACUGUGUCCAUCCGGGGCCGUAUACUUGCUGGUACUUGCCAUAGUGCCAAGAUGACAAGGACUAUCAUUGUUCGCCGCAACUACCUUCAUUUUGUGAAAAAAUACCAAAGGUAUGAAAAAAGACACUCAAACAUUGCAGCACAUAUAUCACCAUGUUUUCGUGUGAAGGAGGGUGACCAUGUUAUCAUUGGGCAGUGCAGGCCUCUUUCAAAGACUGUAAGGUUUAAUGUGCUGAAAGUGAUUCCAGCUGGGUCUUCUGGAGGUGUGAAGAAGGCUUUUACUGGAGCGUAGUCCUUAAGUUUGUGUGCUGUUAAUGGGUGUUGUUAGCUAUAGCAGCUUUUGACAUACAACAUUCACAUCCACCCCGCUUCAUGGAUGAUGGAGUCAUAUAGACAUCUCGUGAUAAUGUCUGCAAAAUGCUUAUGGGAAGCUUGACAUUGAACAAGUCACUUAAUCGAUGGAAGUUGGAGUUGACUUCCUUUCCCUUUCUCGUAUUGAUGAGUUCUAAUGUAGAGGAUAUAUAAUCUACAGCCAUGCUUCAACACAGCUUCUCUUGUGUUUAUUUCAAAAGCAUAAGCUUAAUCCUUUCGAUGUUAUUGGGUAAAUUCCUAAUAUACAUUUGCCAAAUAUUUUCAAAAUUCAUCACAACACAUUUUACCGGUCGAUCUUACUCUUUUACUAUCA